rnacentral:rRNA from 1 species
GAUGAACGCUGGCGGCGUGCCUAAUACAUGCAAGUCGAGCGAAUGGGUUAAGAGCUUGCUCUUAUGAAGUUAGCGGCGGACGGGUGAGUAACACGUGGGUAACCUGCCCAUAAGACUGGGAUAACUCCGGGAAACCGGGGCUAAUACCGGAUAACAUUUUGAACCGCAUGGUUCGAAAUUGAAAGGCGGAUUCGGCUGUCACUUAUGGAUGGACCCGCGUUGCAUUAGCUAGUUGGUGAGGUAACGGCUCACCAAGGCAGCGAUGCGUAGCCGUCCUGAGAGGGUGAUCGGCCACACUGGGACUGAGACACGGCCCAGACUCCUACGGGAGGCAGCAGUAGGGAAUCUUCCGCAAUGGACGAAAGUCUGACGGAGCAACGCCGCGUGAGUGAUGAAGGCUUUCGGGCCGUAAAACUCUGUUGUUAGGGAAGAACAAGUGCUAGUUGAAUAAGCUGGCACCUUGACGGUACCUAACCAGAAAGCCACGGCUAACUACGUGCCAGCCGCCGCAGUAA